rnacentral:rRNA from 1 species
GUACUCUGNAACCCGAGUACAUGAAGCUGGAAUCGCUAGUAAUCGCGAAUCAGAAUGUCGCGGUGAAUACGUUCCCGGGUCUUGUACACACCGCCCGUCACACCAUGGGAGUCGGUAACGCCCGAAGCCUGUGACCCAACCUAAUAGGAGGGAGCAGUCGAAGGCAGGUCUGAUAACUGGGGUGAAGUCGUAACAAGGUAAC